UACGGAGGGGGCUAGCGUUUGUUCGGAAUUACUGGGCGUAAAGCGCACGUAGGCGGCUUUGUAAGUUAGAGGUGAAAGCCCAGGGCUUAACCCUGGAAUUGCCUUUAAGACUGCAUCGCUAGAAUUGUGGAGAGGUAAGUGGAAUUCCGAGUGUAGAGGUGAAAUUCGUAGAUAUUCGGAAGAACACCAGUGGCGAAGGCGACUUACUGGACACAUAUUGACGCUGAGGUGCGAAAGCGUGGGGAGCAAACAGG
rnacentral:rRNA from 1 species